rnacentral:rRNA from 1 species
CCAAUAGCGUAUAUUAAAGUUGUUGCAGUUAAAAAGCUCGUAGUUGAAUUUCGGGAUCAAUUUACUGGUCGUGCUAUUGUACGUACUGGUUUUAUUGAUUUCUUCCUUCUGACGAACCAUGAUGUCAUUAAUUUGGUGUUAUGGGGAAUCAGGACUGUUACUUUGAAAAAAUUAGAGUGUUUAAAGCAGGCUCACGCUUGAAUACAUUAGCAUGGAAUAAUGAAAUAGGACGUUUGAUUCUAUUUUGUUGGUUUCUAGGAUCGACGUAAUGAUUAAUAGGGAUAGUUGGGGGCAUUAGUAUUCAAUUGUCAGAGGUGAAAUUCUUGUAUUUAUUGAAGACUAACUACUGCGAAAGCAUUUGCCAAGGAUGUUUUCAUUAAUCAAGAACGAAAGUUAGGGGAUCGAAGACGAUCAGAUACCGUCGUAGUCUUAACCAUAAACUAUGCCGACUAGGGAUCGGAUGAUGUUAAUUUUUUAAUGACUCAUUCGGCGCCUUACG